rnacentral:misc_RNA from 1 species
AACACUGUUAACCUGCGGUACCUGCGGAGGGAUCAUUACCGAGUGAGGGCCCUCCGGGUCCAACCUCCCACCCGUGUUUAACGAACCUUGUUGCUUCGGCGGGCCCGCCUCACGGCCGCCGGGGGGCACCCCGCCCCCGGGCCCGCGCCCGCCGAAGACACCUGUGAACGCUGUCUGAAGUUGCAGUCUGAGACACUAGCUCAAUCAGUUAAAACUUUCAACAACGGAUCUCAGAUCGGA